rnacentral:rRNA from 1 species
AACGAUGGAAGCUUGCUUCCAUGCAUCGAGCGGCGGACGGGUGAGUAAUGCAUAGGAAUCUGCCCGGUAGUGGGGGAAAACCUGGGGAAACCCAGGCUAAUACCGCAUACGUCCUACGGGAGAAAGCAGGGGAUCUUCGGACCUUGCGCUAUCGGAUGAGCCUAUGUCGGAUUAGCUAGUUGGUGAGGUAAUGGCUCACCAAGGCCGCGAUCCGUAGCUGGUCUGAGAGGAUGAUCAGCCACAUCGGGACUGAGACACGGCCCGAACUCCUACGGGAGGCAGCAGUGGGGAAUAUUGGACAAUGGGCGAAAGCCUGAUCCAGCCAUGCCGCGUGUGUGAAGAAGGCUUUCGGGUUGUAAAGCACUUUCAGUGGGGAAGAAAUCCUCGGGGCCAAUACCCUCGAGGGAGGACAUCACCCACAGAAGAAGCACCGGCUAACUCCGUGCCAGCAGCAGCGGUACG